rnacentral:rRNA from 1 species
GUUGGGUUAAGUCCCGCAACGAGCGCAACCCUUAUCCUUUGUUGCCAGCGGUUAGGCCGGGAACUCAAAGGAGACUGCCAGUGAUAAACUGGAGGAAGGUGGGGAUGACGUCAAGUCAUCAUGGCCCUUACGAGUAGGGCUACACACGUGGUACAAUGGCGCAUACAAAGAGAAGCGACCUCGCGAGAGCAAGCGGACCUCAUAAAGUGCGUCGUAGUCCGGAUUGGAGUCUGCAACUCGACUCCAUGAAGUCGGAAUCGCUAGUAAUCGU